rnacentral:rRNA from 1 species
GGGUGAGUAAUGCCUAGGAAUCUGCCUGGUAGUGGGGGACAACGUUUCGAAAGGAACGCUAAUACCGCAUACGUCCUACGGGAGAAAGCAGGGGACCUUCGGGCCUUGCGCUAUCAGAUGAGCCUAGGUCGGAUUAGCUAGUUGGUGAGGUAAUGGCUCACCAAGGCGACGAUCCGUAACUGGUCUGAGAGGAUGAUCAGUCACACUGGAACUGAGACACGGUCCAGACUCCUACGGGAGGCAGCAGUGGGGAAUAUUGGACAAUGGGCGAAAGCCUGAUCCAGCCAUGCCGCGUGUGUGAAGAAGGUCUUCGGAUUGUAAAGCACUUUAAGUUGGGAGGAAGGGCAGUAAGAUAAUACCUUGCUGUUUUGACGUUACCGACAGAAUAAGCACCGGCUAACUCUGUGCCAGCAGCCGCGGUAAUACAGAGGGUGCAAGCGUUAAUCGGAAUUACUGGGCGUAAAGCGCGCGUAGGUGGUUUGUUAAGUUGGAUGUGAAAGCCCCGGGCUCAACCUGGGAACUGCAUC